rnacentral:misc_RNA from 1 species
GAUGAAGAACGUAGCGAAAUGCGAUAAGUAAUGUGAAUUGCAGAAUUCAGUGAAUCAUCGAAGCUUUGAACGCACAUUGGGCCCCUUGGUAUUCCGAGGGGCAUGCCUGUUCGAGCGUCAUUAUAACCCCUCAAGCUCAGCUUGGUGUUGGGGCCUGCUGCACUGGCAGCCCUUAAAAUCAGUGGCGGCGCCAUCUGGCUCUAAGCGUAGUAAUUCUUCUCGCUAUGGAGUCCUGGUGGAUGCUUGCCAUCAACCCCCAAUUUUUCUAUGGUUGACCUCGGAUCAGGUAGGGAUACCCGCUGAACUUAAGCAUAUCAAUAAGCGGAGGA